CAGCAUCUCUGUCCUUCAGUUCUCUGAGCUUCAGUGAAGAUGAAGACACUCGCUCUGAUCAUCUGCUCUCUGCUGCUGCUCCUCCACGAGUGUGGAGGACAGAUCAGCGUCACUCAGAGUCCCUCAAUCACAGCAGAACCAGACAAAUCCGUCACAAUCACCUGCAGAACCAGCACAGAUGUGUACAAUGAUGGCUCUGAUGAUUUGUUAGCCUGGUAUUUACAGAAACCUGGAGAAGCUCCUAAACUCCUGAUUUAUUGGGCCAAUCGUCGAACUUCAGGAACUUCAUCUAGAUUCAGUGGCAGUGGAUCUAAGAGUGAUUUCACUCUGAGCAUCAGUGGAGUCCAGACUGAAGAUGCUGGACAUUAUUACUGUCAGAGUUUACACUGCAGAACAGAUUCUAACAAUGACUGUGUGGGUGAUGUUGUGUUCACACAGUGA